CCAGGGUUAGUCGGGACCUAAGCCGAGGCCGACAGGCGUAGGCGAUGGAUAACAGGUUGAUAUUCCUGUACCCGUUGUUUUUGUUUGAGCAAUGGAGGGACGCAGGAGGCUAAGGAAUGCAGACGAUCGGAAAUGUCUGUCCAAGCAGUAAGUCUGAAGAGGAGUCAAAUGCUUCUUUUCUUAAGGACAAGCUGUGAUGGGGAGGGAAAUAAUAGUACCGAAGUUCCUGAUGUCACACUGCCGAGAAAAGCUUCU
rnacentral:rRNA from 1 species